rnacentral:lncRNA from 1 species
AUGCGCAGCCCUCGGGCCGGCCCGGGCGCACCUUUUCUGUCUCCUGCCACAUUGUGAGCGCUCCGCCGCCCAGAUAACCGCCGGCUCCCCGCGCCGCCCCCGCCUUCUCCCACUCCGCCCACUGCCGGGAGCCCAGGGGAUGAUGCAGCAAGAAGACCCACACCAGAUGAGGGCGCCUUGAUAUUGGAUUUCCCAGCCUCCAGAACUCAAAUAAAAAUGCAGUCUGGAUUUUAAGGGCCACACAGCAGCAAGAACUAAAACCUGGGUCUCCAAGGUCCAAGUCCAGGACUUCUCUAUGACACCCUACUGCAGCCCUUUGCUGGAUACCAUACAAAGCAAAUUGAGCAGAUGUGUUCUCUGCCCUCUGAAAGUUUGGACUCAAAUGGACAGCCACAAUUCUGGCAAACAUAAAAGGACAAAGUGAUUUAGUGUCAACUCACAUACGCAAUAAAUAACUGAGUUAAAUAGAUAAGGAAAGGCAUGUUCACCUGGUCUACUGAUAUUUUUUAAAUUCCAGUUGAGUAGAGAGCAAUGUUAAUAAGACUAAGGUUUUGGGCCAGUCCCAUUUUUGCCUACUUGCUUUGCACCUGGAAAAAUAUUUGUAACUGCAUGCAAACUCUUUCCCCUCCUCGUCUUCAACAAUCUGUAAACUUUCCCUGAGCAGCUACCAAGUGUAACACAAAGUGGGAAUGAAGGACCAUUAAGAAAUCAUCUCUGUGCCAUGCGCGGUGGCUCAAGCCUAUAAUCCCAGCACUUUGGGAGGCCGAGGCGGGUGGAUCACCUGAGCUCGGGAGUUCAAGGCCAGCCUGGCCAAUAUGGUGAAACCCUGUCUCUACUAAAAAUACAAAAAAAAAAAAAAAAAAAAAAUAGCUGGAUAUGAUGGCAUGUACCUGUAGUCCCAGCUACUCAGGAGGCUGAGGCAGAAGAAUCGCUUGAACCCAGGAGGCAGAGGUUGCAGUGAGCUGAGAUUGCUCCAUUGCACUCCAGCCUGAGAAACAAAAGCAAAACUCUAUCCCCACCCCCCCCAAAAAAAAGGAAGGAAAAGAGAAGAAAAAAAGUCAUCUGUGCCCUCGAGCAACAUCUUUAACCAUUCGCCUAAUUCAAACCACUGGGAUGAAAAUGUAUAUCCUGUAUAUACCAUCUCUACUGCUGGGAAAAAAGACACGUCAACUCAAUACCCAUCCUAUUUUUAGACGGCCUGAGAUUCGUCCUUAUCCAUGCAGGGCAGUCGGGUAGGACAAUGAAGAGGUGGACUUCUGAAUUUGAGAGAAAUUGGUCUUAUCCCAGAGAAGUGAGGCCACCACCCACCUGCAAUAGCUUGGCUUCCUGGAUCCCUAAGCAAAGACAGAGUCUUGCUCUGUCACUCGGGCUGGAGUACAGUGACACAAUCACGGUUCACUGCAGCCUGGACCUCCCAGGCUCAAGUGAUCCCCCUGCUGCAGCCUCCUGAGUAGCUGGGACUACAGGCCUGUGCCACCAUGUCCAGAUAUAAUCCCCAGUAUUGGAAGUGGAGCCUGAUGGGAGGUAUUGGGGUCAUGGGAGCAGAUCCCUCAUGGCUUCGUGCUGUUCUCACCACAUAAAAGCUUCCUGAGGCCUCCCUAGAAGAGGAGCAGAUGCUGUUGCCAUGCUUCUUGUACAGCCUGCAGAACUGUGAACCAAUUAAACUCUUUUCUUUAUACGUUAUCCAGUCUCAGGUAUUUCUUUAUAGCAAUGUAAGAACAGCCUAAUGGCUGGGCACAGUGGCUUAUGCCUGCAAUCCCAGCACUUUGGGAGGCUGAGGCAAAUGGAUUGCUUGAGCCCAGAAGUUCAAGACCAGUCUGGGCAACAUGACAAGACCCCGUCUCUACAAAAAAAAAAAAAAAAAAAAAAAAAAAAAAAAAAUUAGCCAGGCCUGCUGGCAUGCACCUGUAGUCCAAGCUACUUGGGAGGCUGAGGUGGAAGGGUCCCUUGAACCUGGGAGGUGGAGGUUGCAGUGAGCCAAUAUUGUGCCAUUGCACUCCAGCCUGGAUGACAGAACGAGACUCUGUCUCAAAACCAAACCAACCCAAAAAAAAAAAAAAAAAAAAAAAGAACAGCCUACAGCUGGGCGCAGGGACUCAUGCCUGUAAUCCCAGCACUUUGGGAGGCUGAGGUGGGUGGAUCACCUGAGGUCAGGAGUUCAAGACCAGCCUGGCCAACAUGGUGAAACCCUCUCUACUACAAAUACAAAAAAUUAGCCAGGCAUGGUGGCACACACCUGUAAUCCCAGCUUACUCAGAAGGCUGAGGCCCGAGAAUUGCUUGAACCCGGAAGGCGGAGAUUGCAGUGAACCGAGAUCAUGCCACUGCACUCCAGCUUGGGUAACAGAGAGACUCUGUCUCAAAAAAUAAUAAUAAAAUAAUAAAAAAAAAAUUAAAAAAGAACAGCCUACUACAUUUUCUUGCAGGUCCGGUCCACUGCUAGGAGAUCCAUAUCUACUCUUUGGGAGUUCUCCAGAGGAAAAAAUCAACAGGCGGGAGAAAGAUACUCUGCUAGCUUCAGAUUCAUUAGUACUAGGAAAUGGAGAGAUAGGAGGUAUAAUGUAUUAGGGAAGCAAGGGAUUCAGAACCAGGUGCCCACUGACUCUGAGAAGCACUGGGUGCACAGAGGGUAGCAGACAAGCAAGAGGGUGGAAUUUGCAGCAUCUCAUCUUGGUGAGACAGUUGGAAGACUUUUCUGCCAAUUAUAGUGGUUAAACACUGACUCAACAUCAAACAACGGCAUGAGGGGUCAGAGCCUUCAUUCGUGGACAAGUUUCAAAAACAUGGGAGCACCACCUGUCAUGAGCAAUUUAGUCAGAACAGAAGAGAAUAGAUCACACCCAACAAGACAGAAAAAGCUGCUUUCUGGAGAGGGCGGGAGCUAAUAUUUCCUAACACGGUGAAAUUGUGAAGUGCUUUUUGCAGCCCUUCAUAAUUUCAUCAUCCAAAGGGUUUGCUUUUGGAAUUCUUAGACACUUAAUUCUGUCCCUGCUUUCCGUGUCACUUCCACGGGACACUGAAUUUGGGAAGAGGGAGACCUCACCAAUGAUGGGAAGAACAGAUUGGGGGCUGGCGCCCUUUUGGGUUUGCCAUGUGAACAUCCUCCUGGAACAGUCUCCAUUCUGUCCCAGCAAGACACACUCUGCUCUGUGAAGAACCCAGGUGGGAAAAAAAAAAAAAUCUAUGAGGCCACAGUGGAAAUGCAGCUCAGCAGGACUCUCAGGUACCCCAAAAUUGUCCCAUCUGACAACUCACCACAUUCUAUUUAUUUAUUUAUUUAUUUAUUUUGAGAUGGAGUCUCACUGUGUCACCCAGGCUGGAGUGUAGUGGCGUGAUCUAGGCUCACCGCAGCCUACGCCUCCCAGAUUCAAGCGAUUCUCCUGCCUCAGCCUCCCAUGUAGCUGAGACUACAGGCAUGCGCCACCACACCCAGCUAAUUUUUGUAUUUUUAGUAGAGAUGGGGUUUCGCCAUGUUGCCCAGGCUGGUCUCAAACUUCUGACCUCAGGUGAUCCACCCCCGCCCCUCAGCCUCCCAAAGUUCUGGGAUUACAGUCAUGAGACACUGCACCUGGCCAACACAUUCUGUUUUCAUCAUUAGUGCCUGUCCUCCCUGCUAGCUCAUGGGCUCCCCCAGAGCAGGCAUGUUUGCCCUAGUCACCAUCAAAACUGUCUUAGUACCUGUCACGGUGCCUGGCACAUAGCAGUUAUUCAGUAAAUGUUUGUUGAAUAAAUCAACUAUAAACAUCAAAAUGAUUCCCUUAAAAAGGUCUUCAUUCUUGUUCAGAUGUAGAGAGUUACAUUACAAACACUUGUGUGCUGGGGAUAGGAAGGGACACUGUUGGGUAAUAAUAAGUGCUUGAAACAUGUGGGAGGGCCCUGGAAAAUAGCCCAAAAAGUUCACAUUGUAUCUGAUAAGCAACAGGGAGCUACUGCAGGUUCUUCAGGUCACCAGUAGGCAAGCAGGUGGUGGCUUUCCAGGCUGAAAAGUGUAUUUGAUCUGGAAGAUAGUAGGAUCACAGACAAACAGUGAGUCUUGGAGUAGCCUGAUCACAGUGGCAAGCUCAAGAGACAAUUUUAUGGCUGAGGGCUGAAUGUUUCAGCUGGGUGGGUGUCAAGAAACCAGCAAGACUCCAGGCAUGGUGGCUCAUGCCUGUAAUCCCAACACUUAGGGAGGCCGAGACAGAGGAUCCCUUAAGCCCAGGAGUUUGAGACCAGCCUGGGCAGUAUAAGGAAGCCCUGUCUCUACAAAAAUAAAAACAUAACAAAAUUAGCCAAGUGUGGUGGCGUGUGCCUGUGCUUCUAGCUCCUUCAGAGGCUGAAGUGGGGAGGAUCACUCGAGCCUGGGAGGUUGAGGCUUCACUGAGCUGUGAUCAUGCUGCUGCACUCCAGCCUGGGCGACAGAGUGAGACCCUGUCUCAAAAAACAAACAAACAAACAAGAAACCCAGCAAGAAUUAAGAAUUCUGGUGAGCACUGUUCCCGUGUGACCUCAGAGAGCUGAUAGGCAAUUUGAUGGCAGAGGCGGGGGCCAGUGCAGUCAUGGCCAAAAAUGGCCAGGGAGGAAGAAGAUGCCCUGGGUCUCAGCCCAGAGUCUGGUGUUGGAUGGUGUGGAGAGUAGAAGUGAAGCCAAAGUAAGGUCUGUCUUUCUUCAGAGAGAGCCUCCUAAAGGCAGAGGACAUGUCUUAUCCAUCUACACCCACAGCUCCAAGCGGAGCUCCUUGCCCAGAGAAGCUGCUUAAUAAAUUGACACACGAAUGCUUGGCUGCCUCGCUGGCUCUGGGAGGCAUGGAUGAUGCCAGAGCUUGGGGAGGCCACUGAAGCAGUGUUUAUUGUCCUUUCUCCUCCAACUUCCUCAGUCUACCCUUCUGUGUUGUCCCACCUCUCCUUGAAGCCAGAAGAUGUCCCCAAAGGUUGCUACUCUCCACAUGGACAGCAGCCAGGAGACGCCUGCCCUGCCCCGCCCCUUGCUAGUUGGUGAUGCUGGCCUAGCAAGGCAGGGUCCUGCAGGAUGAAAGCUCGGAGAAGCCAAAACAGGAAUAAUAAUGAUAAUAAUCAGCUGCGGCGUCUCAACCAUCCAGGAAUGCAAGGCUCCACGCCCUGUGUGCCUCACACCCCAGGACAUCGCAAGGGCUCCUCUCCCUUUAUUUUAUUGCAGUGAUCCCACACUGCCAUUCCCAGCCCAACCCAUCUGGAUUCCCAAGAACUGCAGUCCAGCCACCGGCUCAUCCACCACCCAGUUUCCAUGGGAAUAUUCAGCUCCAAGACCUAAGCCAGCAGCAGGGUAAGACGCCCAGCUACUUGGAAACUCGUGCUCCAUGGCUUCUGGGAGAAGCAGUCUGCCCACCCCUGGCCUGGAACGCUUUCCCAUAGACCCAUCUAUGUCUGGUCAAUGUGAGGGCCAGGUACCUUGCUUGUGUCAAUCCAAAUCUGGAUUCAAGUCUGGUCUGGCCUUAAACUAACUCACCACGGGACCCUAGACAGGUUUGGUUUCAUUUUUUAACUUUUUUGGGUUCACUCGCUCUCUUGCCCAAAAGCUUUUCAAGGAUCCCCAUGGCUCAGUGAAGAUAAACUCUGGAUCUAGAGGUCUAGUACGUGGCCAUUUGAAAUCUCGUUCUAAAACACCUUUCCAAAUCCACUCGUCUCCUUCACCUUUGGGAUGCCAGCCAGAAGGAAGUACUCACCGUUGGUCAUGCACAUCCCAUGCUUUUCCAUUUGGGGAUUUUGCUCCUUCUUUGGGAAUGUCAUUCCUUCCACCUCUACCUCCACCUGGCAAGACCCUCCUAGCCUUCAAGGCCCAGGCCAGGGGCCAUCUCCUCCAUGAUUAUGCCUGACCCUCAUCCACCUUGGAACCCUGCUUCCUUUUCCUCAGACCCUUUCAAGCCCCAGUACUCACAUUGUGCUGUGGGUGUGUGCAUAUCUUAAUCAUCAGCAUCCUGAUGUCUCGUUCAUCUCUGUGUCUCCAUGGCGGCUAGUACAGCACCUUGCACACAGGGCAAGGAAUCAAUACAUAAGUUCCAGACAUACAUUGUGGAGAAUAAUCAUCCUCACUCUAUUAAAUCCUCCCACAAUUGUGCUCCAAAAAAUAAAAAUAAUUAUUUUAGGCCAGGUGUGAUGGCUCACAUCUGUAAUCCCAGCACUUUGGGAGGCCAAGGCAGGAGGAUCGCUUGAGCCCAGGAGUUUCAGACCAGCUUGGGCAACAUAGUGGGACCCUAUCUCUACAAAAAAUAAAAUUAGCCAGGCAUGGUUGCACAUGCCUGUUGUCCCAGCUACUCAGGAGGCUGAGGUGGGAGGAUUGACUGAGCUGGGGAGGCAAAGGUUGCAGUGAGCCAAGAUCAUACCACUGCACUCCAGCCUGAGUGACAGAGCAAGACCCUGUCUCCCUAGCUCCAAAAUGUUUAUUUAAUAUAACAUUUCCUGAGUGUGUAUUAUUGGCUUGAGAGAGAAAUAAAGAGUACAAAGGCCAGGAAGGCCCCUUACCCCCACCCCAGCCUCCUCUGUAGGUAGGAUGCAGGUACCCAAGUCUCCAUGAAGACAUCAGCUCUCUGGCUUUGGCUCCUAGGCUGACACUAGGAACCCUUUCCUUGACCAGUGGCUGGUCCAGUUCCAUCUCAGACUCUGUCUAGUACGAGGUGGGUUCUUCCCUU